GGGUGGGAACCAAGAAAAGUAUCUGGCAAGAUGGGACCUGAUAGGCUCUCACGGGAGGGUGAGUCAUGUCGGGGCAAUAUGAAAGGUGUCAGGGUAUGCAGGAGCUGGCAGUGUGGGUGGCUGUGGAAGGCUGCUGAGCUGCCCAGAUUCACAGGGGACACAGCCCAGAGUUAGGAAGAUUCAGUACUCUGUGGCUGUGCGACCUCCGGUGAGCGUUUUACUUCUCCGUACCUCAGUUUUCCCAUCUGCACUAUCAGGUUAACCCCACAUCCCCUACAACCAUGCUACUUUACCUCUGAGCACUAACCGGUUUUCUCAUGCUUUAUUGGAGCUGGGUAAUUCUUACAUCCAGUCCAUUCAACAAUGUGCAGUUCUCUCCUGUUGGAGGUGAUGUGGAGUGGGGGACGGGACGUCUAUGGAGAACUUGCUCUGAGGCAUUUAACUUUUUAAAGCUCCAUGCAAACUUAUUUUAUAGCUGGGAAAAUUAAGGCCUUGCAGGAACCUGCUAGCCAGUUCUACAGUGGAAGCUGGCUUCAGACCCCAUCUGUCUGGCUGUCCCCAGAGUCUAUCUGUUGCCCACAUAAUUUCCACAGCAGGUAAACACCAAGGGUUUAAAUGGGGGCAUGUUUUCUACUGAAAGGAGGAAAAGAAGAAUAAAGGAGAUAAAUCCUGAGCUGCACCCCAGUGUCUGACUUCUGGCAGGGAACCUGUGGAACCUGACUUACUGUAUGUGAAUAGACAGCAUCUGUUAUGAAAAGGCGGUGGGGUAUCCCUUGCCUUGCCCUUGAAUCAUGGUGACAAGGACAGGAAUGUUAUAAGACACCUUUACUUGACCCUUGAGUCUCCUUUUUUUAAUGUUAUAUAACAUUUCUUAUACUCAUAGCAUUAGCAUGUGGGAUGCUAACACAUGCUCACCUUUCAUCCCAGCACUGUGGAAGCACAGGCAGGCCAGUAUCUGUGCAUUUGAAGGAAGGCUUAGACAUAGCGAGUUACGGGUCAGGCAGAAAUUAACCUCAAAGAAUGACUUAGAAAGGUAGCAGGUUUUUUUUUUAAAUUUUUAAGAUUUAUUCAUUUAUUAUAUAUAAGCACACUGUAGCUGUCUUCAGACACACCAGAAGAGGGCAUUAGAUUCCAUUACAGAUGGUUGUGAGCCACCAUGUGGUUGCUGGGAAUUGAACUCAGGACCUCUGGAAGAGCAGUCAGUGCUCUUAACCACUGAGCCAUCUCUCCAGCCCCAGGUAGCAGGUUUUGAUGAUUUCAAAUCCCUCCAGAUAAAGUGAUAUAAACAAAGGAACACACUGAGACCUUACACCUGUGAGAUUUCUAAGGUUUUAAGUGUAUGGAACACAUACGCACAUUCUGAGCUGUCCAGUGUGUCUGGGCCAAUGGAGAAAAGAAAGGGGGUGUUCCAGGGUUAUCUAAAUCACUGUAGGUUAUAGCAUUGAAGGAAACUCUUUUUUUAGGUAGGCAGCAUAAUCUUUUUUUUAUUUUAUUUGUGUAUAUGUGUGUGUGUGUGUGUGUGUGUGUGUCUGUGUCUAUGUCUGUGUGUGUGUGUGUGUGUACACUACAGGUUGAUAUCAGGUGUCUUCCUCAACUGCUUCUCUACCUUAUUUCUCUGAGACAGGGUCUCUCACUGAACCUGGAGCUCGGUGAUUAAACUAAUUGGCCAGCAAAUCCCAGGCAUCCCCCUGUCUCUGUCUCCCUAGUGCUGAGAUUACAGGUAACAUGAUCUUCAUAUAGAAACCUGAGGCACACAGCAAACCAAGAAACAAACAAGAAGAACAAAGUGGAAAGAGAAGUUGAGAGACAUCGCAGACCAGCCUCCCCACGUUCUCCGUGAAAUGUCAGUCUACACGAGACCGAGGCCAGAUGUGGUGGCUUACAGCUUUGAUGCCAGCACGUGGGAGACUGAAACAGGGGGACUGAGGUUUGAGUUCACCCUGAGUGACAGAGAGAGACUCUGACAAUGUAUAUAUUUUAUAUUUUCAUCUGGUAUAAAACUAUUGGGGAAAGUGAUGAGGAAGGACCAAGCCAAGUUGAAGGCUAAGUUAUACUUGCAACCAGGGCAGGCAAGUGAGAACAGUAAAAUGGAGAAAAAGGAAAAGAACACACACACACACACACACACACACACACACACACACACACCACACACACACACACACAACACACACACCACACACACCACACAACACACAUACCACACACACACAUACCACACACACACAUACCACACACACACACAUACCACACACACACCACACACACACACCACACACACACAUACCACACACACACAUACACACAUACAACACACACAUACCACACGCGCACACACACACACACACAUACACCACACACAUAACACACACACACACACCACACAACACACAUACCACACACACACACCACACACACACAUACCACACACACACAUACCACACACACACCACACACACACCACACACACACACCACACACACACAUACACACCACACACACACAUACCACACACACACACACACACAUACACCACACACAUAACACACACACACACACACACACACACACACACACGUGCGCGAGAGCGCAAAAAUCAGUCCACAAACAGCAAAUUAAACACACAACAGAGUCUCAACCUCACUAGUGGCCAGCGAAAUGCAAAUCAAAGCGCCAGAGGGAUGUGCUGUCCAUCGGGUAGAGGGAAAUCUGUCGGCUGUGGGCUGUGUGGAGAAGCACAGCUUUUAUAUACAGCGUUUAUAUUGCCAGCCGCAAUGCUGGAACUUAUGCACCUAAUAUUAGUAAUAGGGAGGUGGGGUAGAAGGACUGAAGGCUAAGCCUGGGCUGGAUGAGAGAGAGAGAGAGAGAGAGAGAGAGAGAGAGAGAGAGAGAGAGAGAGAGAGAGACCCUGUCUCAAAAUAAAACAAAACAAAAACAAAAACAAAAAACCCCACAACAAAGCAACAACAAACUUAAAAACAACAAAACAAAGAAUGCAGAUGUCAGUAUAGACAGACAAGACACAGAUGUUGUAGCAGGCAUUUUGGAGAUUGAUAUGGCAGUAGCUGAUGAAAAGUUUUUUUGGCAAACUUUCAGAUAACUCGUAGACCAUUUGUUAGGAAAAUAUAGGAAAAGCUGCAAUCUACAACAACAAGAGAAACCCCAAUAAGAACAGACAGCUCCUGGUGGGGACUGAACGUCCAACGCAGGAAAGAGAAGAGGCUGCUCAGGGAGGAUUCGGAGAAAGGACCAAGAUACCACAGGCGUGGGGGCAGGUGGCCCAGCUCACUGCAGUGGAGAAGUUUCUCGAGGUAAAAUUUGCAAACCACCUAAAUCCAGCUGAACUGUCGAGAAAUGAUUUAAAUAACUGGCGGAGUGUUCAAGGCUGAGCCAAAGGUAAGUAUGGUACUGUUCUAAGCGGAUAAAGAGGCGUCAGAAUAAAAGUAUCUCAAGAUGAAAUUACUUUGUGGGCGUACUCUAAUGCUUGUGUUUUAGUUGUCAAUGCUUGGCUUCGGGCUGGGACAAGGAAUGGAGGUGCACAUUUUAAGUGUCAAAGCAGAUCUGGCCUACAGCUGCUCUCAGCACUUCUUAGUCCCUCAUGGCAUACCCUGGGCCCAACCUUGAACUUUCCAGCCCAAGGGGCUGGGCUGACUUCCUCCAGAGGCUCCCCCUUAUAUGAUCCAGACAUUUUGGGCCCCCUUCUCUCCCUCUCUCUCUGCACCCUUUCUCUCUUCUUCUCUCCCCUCCCUUCCUCCCCAUGGUGAUUCCCCUGGCCUCAAUCUUUGGGCUUUGUGAACUCACUGGAGAACAGCUUCCCAAUAAACCUGUAAUAUAAUCCAACCUGGCUUGAAUUGGCUCGUUUUACUGGCAGAGAAAUAACCUAUCGGUCAUAUUUAAAUAAAAGCUUACCAGAUAGCUCUUUUUAAUGGUGUCCUGGGAUUUUCUUUAAAUUUGAUUGAUUUUAUAACGGAAGUUUUUUUUUUUUAUCAAGACACACCUAUUUACUGAGUGAUCAAAUUUUGGCUUAAGGCAUGGGUCUGCACCAGGCCCUCAGCGUAUAGUAUGGCCCUUAACUUGGUGGGUUUUUGUGGGACUCCUAACAGUGGGAGCAGGUGUGUCUCUGACUCUUUUGCCUGCUCACGGGAUGCUUUCUUCCUGUUGGGUUGCCUUGCCCUGCCUGGAUGUGAGGGCUUUUGGCCUCUUCUUAUUGUAUCUUGCUUUGUCAUGUUGCUGUUGCUUCUUGGAGGUCUGUUCUUUUGAAGGGAAAUGGGUCAGGAGGAGUGGAUCUGAGGGAGCUGGGAGGUAGGGAGAAGCUGGGAGGAGUGGCCAGAGAGGGAACUGGUUGGAAUGUAUUGUAUGAAAGAAGAAUCUAUUUUUAAUAAUAAUAUAAUUUUAAUAAAAUCAUAACAAUGACUAUUACCAAUGAGGGAAAAUGAAUAAUUCCAAUAGUCCAUUAAUAAUUCACUGGGGUUGGCACUCCCUGUGAUGCAAGAGAAAUUCUCUGAACACUUCGAACUCUUUGGGGGCCAUCGAAAAGCAAAAAAGAAAAUCAAAGAGGGAAAGAAUCAUAUAUAAAUAUAGUCAGUGGAUGAAGCAAGACAAGUUCCAGUAACUUUACACAUACAUAUACAUACAUACAUACAUACAUACAUACAUACAUACAUACAUAAUACAUGUGCAGGUAGGCAUACACAUUCAUGCAUUGGGUGGACAGAGCAAAGCUCCAAACAACUUUACAUAUAUACACACAUACAUAUAUUUUUGGCAAACUCCAAUGAGCAGGCUCCAACAAACUUUACACACACACACACACACACACACACACACACACACACACACACACACUGGAUGGAGCAAACUCCAAGUUGACUCUUAAAAACUGAAACUUUUUCUACCUUUUCUACCUAUAUACUCUUAGCCUUUUCUACCUGUAUACUCUUAGUCUUUUAUACCUAUAUACUCUUAGCCUUUUAUACCUAUAUACUCUUAGCUUUGUCUACCUAUAUACUCUUAGCUUUGUCUACCUAUAUACUCUUAGCCUUUUAUACCUACAUACUCUAAAACAGAGUUCUCUAUGUAGAAAAAAGAUUACCUCAUAGCUAUGUUACAUAUUCUCUAAAAACAAUCACCACAAAAGCAUACUUUUCAAGAACAGAUUAAAAUCAUUACACAAAGGAAAUUACAACCAAAUUAUUGAUUAUGUAUUGUUCUUGUGAAACUCACACCUAACUAAACAUCUCUCAUCUAUCUUUCUCUCUACAAGUUCAUCGUAACCCCAAAGGUUAUAAAUCUUUUGUCAUUGAUUAACAAAGGUUAAGUUAGUCACUCUAUAGUAGCAAGUUUUUUCCUGUGCUUAGCUGACGACAGUUUGUAUUUACCAAGAAACAGAUCAUCAUCUAUCUUAUGUCUUAUUUUCGAAAUCUUGUUCAGUUAAAUCAUCUAUUUUCACACUCAGAAUAGAAGUAUUUCCUUCUUACUCAUAACACUGUCUUUUUCUGGUGCACACUGAAACCUGUGGUCCCUAGAUCACAGGAUCCAGGACCUCGGGCCCAACCUAGAAUGAAUGCUUUCUUUGAUCAUUGACUUGUCCCAAGCCAAUUUUCCUUCCUAGUACAGUCAUGUGCUUGUGACCCAUGAACGCUCACUGUGCUCCUUUUUUAACCUGUGCAGCCCUCGCUACUCUGCAAGGAGGGGGCACAUUCUGCUCUUAAUUCUAUUAUGUUUCUGGCAAAACAACUUUAACUGUUUCCUUAAACUUCCUAUCAACUACCCUAACUUUCUAAAACUAUUUAAAUCAAAUCAGGAAUUCAUCCAUAAAAAUCACUAAUUCAUCUAAGUGAUAUUAUUUUAUGAAAGUUUGUCUCCAUGUUGAUCUGUAGGAAAAUUGUCUAGCAGAGUGGGCUAUCUAUCACCCAGGAGGUAAUCACACCAGGCUAUAGGCAGUGAGGGUCUCCCAUGCCCAGUCACACCAUCCUAGAUAUAUGAGGGAUGUAAUAAUGACAAACUUGAGAAGGCACAGCAGCAGCAAGAAGCAAGCCUGCCACGAAGCCCCUAGGGCUGCGCCUCUCCAGGGUAGACCGGUUGUAGCUGUGCAAACCCAGGGUUAUCUCCAAAAAGCUCACCCGUUGACCCUGACUGGCCUGGCGCUCCCUAUGACAGACAGGCCCAAUUCAUGGAAGAGCUGGGGUUAAAGGUGCUCUCUGAGGAAUCUGAUGCAACGAUGAAGAAUGAGGAAGCUGACUCCUGAGGGUGAAUGUCCUGCAGGACAGGGUAGAUGAUCCAGUUAAAGCCCUGUAGAUAUAAAACUACACGCAAGGGCUGGGGCGAUCACUCCGGGUGAAGUGCUGAGUUUGGAUCCCCACACCAGUACAAAAGCAGGGUGUGGUGAUGUGUGUCUGUACCCCAGCUCAGGAAGCAGGGCAGGGGGACAAGCAGAUUCCACGAGACAGCAAGUCUAGCUGAAACCGAGCUCCAGGUUCAGUGAGAGAUCCCACUGAAAAAAUAAGUUGGAGAAGAAUAGUGAUCAUGGGUCUCUGGCCUCUAUAUGGACACAAAUGGGGCAUGCAUGCAAAUAAAUUCACAGGCACACGCACAUGCACACACUCACACACGAGCACGUUCACUCGCUACACCUCAAACAAACAGCAUACAGCUGAGCCACAGUGUGUAUGGACCUUGUACUCUGACCGAGUCGUGGAGUCGGAACGGAACUAAAAAAAAAAAAAAAGUGACAGUGUAACUGAGAAAGUUCCCGUCCCGCCGUGUCUGGUGGCAUAGGCAUCCGUGAGGCCGUGAGACCGUGUUUGAAGAUAAAGACAGGCUGGGAUGCCCUUCAGUGAGGGAGGUUCAGCCUCACCACCACAAUAAAGAGGGGGGGGAGGGAAGGAAGGAGGGGAGGGCCUAGUUCUGGGGCUGUGAGAGGGCCAAUACUCUGAGACAAAGUGGUGGAGAAGGAAGCUGAUCUCGAGGCUGGCGUGGUCGGAGGGAGAGCAGCUCACACCUGUGACUCUUUUGCUUCGCUGAGAGUACGGCACAUCUUGAGAACUGUUAUCAUCCCAAUUCUUUAAAGGAGCUAUUUUCAUUUCUUUAAAUUAUGUGGAUGGCUGUAGGUUCAUGUGCGGGUUUUUGCAGGCAGUGCAAGCACCCACAGAGGCCAGGGGUGCUGGAUCCCCUGGGGCUGGAGCCAUAAGCAGCCAUCCAUCCGAUGUGGGUGCUGGGAAUCUAACUUGAGUUUUCUGCAAGAACAAUAGAUGCUCUGAUUGCUGGGCUCUCUCUCCCGCUGGUCAUAGCAUGUUUCGUUACCUCAGCUUCAGGCAGCUGGGUACCAGGGUAGUUCAUUAGCCUUGAAAACUAACCAAUUCUGAUAUACGGGCUGUGAGCCUUUGAUAUCUGUCUGGAGGUGACUGAGUCAUGUUGCCCCUGUGAGUCUUAGCGAUUGUUCUAAGCUUGGCUUCUGAAGGUGUGAGGUCUGGUGUGCAGCUAACCUUUUCUUUGUGAUUUUUUUCUACAGCCUGAGAAGGAGCACCACACAGGAAAGGGGAUUAUUUGAAGUGGACAGCAAAAGAAAUCCAGGCCAUCAACACCUUUGGUGAAAAGAAAUACUAGGACUUCGGUCUUGGGCCCAGGCCCACUGCUGACAGCAUGAUGGAAGGAUGCACUUGCGGUCUAGACUCCCCCUCCCGCCUCCUGGAGUGGGGGUGAGGCGGCGUGGGCAACGGUUGGGAAGCUGUCUGGAGGCCUCUUGCAGAGACAUCAGAAUGCUUUGUUAGAACAAGCGCUGGGGAUCCAUCCUGUGGCUCACCCUAUCAAGCUGAAACCGGAUGUUGCUGCCAAGUUCUUUGGAAGGCUAAACAUUGUUGCCCUUGAACAUCUGCGUCUGCAAAAAGUUCUAGAUGUCAACCUUGUGACUAUACUAAUAAAAUCCUUGAAAGGUGAACAGAGGACAAACUGUACCAAGCCUCUGGUCCAAUGGCAUCCUGGAGUGGAGGGGGCUGCUCUGUGCGUCCUGGAGGUCUCACCCUAACAUGCGUCAGGGCAGAGGAAGUCUUGAGAACCUUGUGGACUUAUCUGUGGCAUCUUGAGGUAAGCAGUUCUGACCGUGGGGACAGAGUGGCAGUUUUCCCAGCUUGCUCAGAAAUGCAAGCACACACAGGUUCUUGGAUAAAUGGCUGAAGUGAGGUGUUCUUCUGAGAAUCGGGGGCUGCUCUUUGUUUCUCAAAUGAACACGCACAGACAGGUGGGCAGGGAGAGCAGCUUCAAAACACAGCAUGGACCUGGGUUUCAGUCCUGUCUCAGGAGAAGUAUUGUUUCUUUUCGCUACAGACUAGGAACUAAAUGAAGGUUUUAUACGCAGGGUCAUACAGGACGCCGGACACCGGACACUUAUAAAAACUUACAAGUGUUAGCAAAUGUUCUGGGUCAUUCAGAGACUCACCAGUAUAUUAAUAAAUUUUAACAGAGAAGAGGCUUUUCAUUCAAACACCGGUACCGUUCUACACUGGAGAACAGAGACUCAGGAUUCCAGAAUGCAGCCCCCAGCCACUUCAGUGAGGGGUUUGUAAAGGCAAAGAAUACAAAGUUACAGUUUGCUCUGGUUCAGCAAAAACAGUCCUCUUUACAGAACCAGAAACAGCCAUAAAAAAUGUAACCUUAACAGCUCUUAAUGUUUGGAGGUCUAGAUGGGCUUUAUGGUUCUGUUAAGCACAGAGAUGUUAAGUUUUUAAACAUAAAGUUAGCCAUUGAUGUGACUUUAGCCACCGUUGAGUUAUACCCUGAGUCAAAUCCUUGACUCUGCAUUGGGUACCUUUUCAUAUUGGGACUUAUUUACUAUCAUCUUAAUAGCUCAUAAGCAGGAUUUAUAGAUCUGGUCUUAACCUUGGCCUUAGUUAGUGUUAAUGAUGCAGGGUCAACUAUAAUCAGCAGGCACCCAAGGAAGAACAUGGGAGCCAUUUAUUUCCUCUCUGUGAGGUGUUUUCAAAGUUCAGCCAAAUUAUCCUUGAUACUCCUGAGUGGUUUGCCUAGAAGCAGAUGGCUACAGUAACCUCCUUGCCCUGUGUAAAGCAGAUCAAGUCCCUACCAUGUUGGAAGACUACCUCAGCCAAGAGUCAAGGUGUUCUUUUAAUUUUGCAAUGGACUUUUCUCAGGCAAAAAACAUCUGGGUUAUUUGAGGCCCUAAGUUUUUGUAGUUGACAUUAGUUGUGCUGUGCCUGUUGUCCUGAGCGUGGCUCAAGCCAUUCCCAAUCCUAAAUUUACUAUGGGGGAUGUAAGGGCCGGUGCCUGUGCAUACAUGUGUUUUCUCCCUACUGGACCAUUAUAAAGGCACAUGCAGGGAACAGGGUUAUCAAGACACAGAUUUUCAGGGAUUAGUGCACCUGCCAAAUAGGUAAGCAAGGUGCCAAGGGUUAGCACAUGUGAAACAAUGUUUCAACUGGGAGGUGAAGGAAGGAACAUUCACCUGAAGAAGUGAUGGCUGGGAACUGUGAGACAUCUGUGACAAGUUUGUAUCUGCUCUUAAGGGGGAUAUAGAAAUACAUCCCACAAAAGAGCAGGAGUUAAAUAUAGUCACAUAAAACAGUAGUAGUCUAUAAUUGUGUCCAGUUUAUCUUUGGUGGAUCCUCUCGGGCAUUGUGACAGUUCAUUUUUCUGCAGCCAGGUCAUUGUGGCCUGUGUUGUGCUUGACCUGCCAAUAAUAUACCCAGCUGUAGAUAGAUGCCAUCUUCCUUAGCAGCCAUGGGGGUGGUCAGGAUGACAAAGCAUGAUCCCUUCCAACAAGGUCCCAGAUCCUUCAGACCUAACAUGCCAGCUUUUUGUUAAGGGGGGAUGUGCUUACUUCUGUAACUGCUUCUCACUGAGAUUAAGACACCCUCGUAAGAACCCAUGAAGGCUGGAAAGCCAAAGGCCCAGGGGUGGGGCUCAGAUUGGGGGGCUGGAGGCAUUCACCAUAAGCAUCUGUUUUGCUGAUCCAGCUGAAGAGACAAGGAGCAAUUGUAUUGGCUGGUCUGAUUAUAGGGUUGCACAUCUGUGAUCUUAGCAUUCUGGAGGCAGAGGCAGGAGGAUCUCCAUUUGGAGGACAUCCUGGGCUAUAUAGACUCUCAUGCAUCUAUAAAGAAACUUUUGUUGUUCCUGUCUUGGGGCUGAAUUAAAGCCACUGAGUACAAACCCCGCUGUUGUACUGUGGCUGCACCUGAGGAAGUCCUCUUGAAUCUUAACGUUAACAUAUUAAAUACCCAAACCUUAUAUUAUGACCAAGUGAUAAGAGGGAGGAGAGGGGUUGGGGAUUUAGCUCAGUGGUAGAGCACUUGCCUAGCAAACGCAAGGCCCUGGGUUCGGUCCCCAGCUCUGAAAAAAAGAAAAAGGAAAAAAAAAAAAAGAGAGAGAGAGAGAGGGGAGAAACUGACCACAGAAAACACAUCUGAGAUCUGGUUGAGCCUUGGGUCCCUUCAAAAUGGCUGCCUAGCAUAUGACAGACAGGUCCAGACUACCACUGGAGGCAGCAGAGAGCCUCUUGGUCUUCCUCCCAAAUCUGUUUUGCCAGACAAUGGCAUCUCCCAUGGUUGGUCUUAAGCAUUGUCCUCUCAAAUGCUGAAUCCCAGGAGGUGGCAUCUCCAAAGAUGGAGCCAAGAAAGUGUCAUCUCUAAUGGUGGGUCUCAGAUGGUGGUACCAUCAGUGAUGGAGCCCAGGUGGUGAAUGUUGAGGCCCAGACCACAGCAAGCGAGGGGCGUUGCCUCUUGUGAUGGUGGGAUGCAGGGAAUGGUACAUGUAAUAGUGUGUGGAGAAUGUGGAGACACAGGUAAUAAAAUCUUUAAUGUUGGGAUAGUAACCUCUGUCCUAGUUAGGACUACCAUGGCUGUGAAGAAACAUUAUGACCAAAAGCGAAUUAGGGAGGAAAGGGUUUAUAUGGCUUGCAUAUACAGACAGAGUCAUAGAGGGAAGGCAAGGCAGGAUCUCAAACUGGGUGGGAACUUGGAGGCGGGAGCUGAUGCAGAGGCCAUGGAGGGUGCUGCUUACUGGCUUUCUUUCCUAGCCUGCUCAGGUGCUUUCUUAUAGACCCCAGGACCAGCAGCCCAGCAGGAAAUGGGCCAGGCCCUCCCACAUUAAUCACUAACUAAUAAAAUGCCCUACAUCCCAAUCUUAUGGAGUUAUUUUUUCAAUUGAGGCUCCCUCCUUUCAGAUGACUCUAGAUUGUGUCAAGUUGACAUAAAAAUAGCAAGGACAGGGCUGGAGGGUUGGCUCAAGGGUAAAGACCUCUUCCAGAAGUCCUGAGCUCAAGUCCCAUCACUACAUGGUGGCUCACACUUAUCUAUACUGUAAUCUGAUGCCCUCUUCUGGCAUGCAGGUGUACAUGUAGAUAACGCAGUCAUAUACAUUAAAAAGAAGAAGAAACUGGGACAGCUGUCCAGUGAGAUGUCAUCUCCAAUGGUGUGACUCAGGUGGUGUCUCUCCUCUUAUCUUGCUAGCUUUGUAUAUAUAUAGAUAUAUAUACAUGACCCCAUGCGUGGCUCUGCCUCCAUACAGCUUUCUCCACACUCAUAGCUGUGUCGGUGGCAUCCUGCAUGUCUGUUUUCUGUGUGCUUAACAUUUUAUUUGUUUUCCCGUGUCUGUCUGAGUCUCUCUGCUUUUAUGGGCAUUGUUGGCGAAUCCCAUGCAGGAGAAGCUAGAGUGAGCAAGUGAGCUUCUAGGGUGACAACCCGCUCUCCCGGGCCACUUUCUGUAGAGCAGUAUGAAGAUGGAACUAUUAUAAAACAAUACUGUUUAGAAGAAUUCAUGAAUUUUACAGAAUUCCUGAUUUGAUUUAAAUAAUUAUAGGAAGCUAGGGUAGUUGAUAGAGAGUUUAAGGAGAUGGUUAAAGUCGUUUUUGCCAGAAACAUAUAAUAACUUUAGAAUUAAGAGUAGAAUGUGCCCCCUCCUUGUAGAAUAGUGAGGGCUACAGAGGUUAGAAAAGUACAGUGAGGGGUUGGGGAUUUAGCUCAGCGGUAGAGUGCUUGCCUAGGAAGCGCAAGGCCCUGGGUUCGGUCCCCAGCUCCGAAAAAAAGAAAAGAAAAAAAAAAAAGAAAAGUACAGUGAGCGUUCAUGGGUUAAAAAAAAAAAAAAGAAAAGUACAGUGAGCGUUCAUGGGUUACAAGCACGUAACUGCACUAGGAAGAAAAAUCGGCUUGGGACAAGUCAAUGAUCAAAGAAAACAUUCAUUCUAGGUUGGGUCCAAGUUCCUGAAUUUUGUGAACUAGAGAAGUAGUCACAGGCUUUGAUGUACACCCUGAAAAGGCAAGGUUAUAAAUAAAGAGUAAUUAUGAAUAGAGAAUAGAGAAUAGAUUAUUGCCUAAUGUAGCUGAACAAGACUUCAAAAGCAAGAUGUAAGAUAAAUGAUCUGUUUCUUGGUAAAUACAAAUUGUAGUCAGCUAAGCAUAGGAAAAAACUUGCCAUUCUAGACUUGGCUUGCUUAAACUUUGUUAAUCAAUGACAAAAGAUUCAUUGCCUUGGGGUUAUGGUGAACUUGAGGAGAGAAAGAGAGAUGGGAAAUGUUUAGCCAAGUAUGAGUUUUACAGUAAUAAUAAUAAUAACAAUAAUAAUCAAUAAUCCUGUUGUGAUUUCCUUUUGUGUAAUGAUUUUAACCUGUUAUUGAAGAAUAUGUUUUGUUUUUGGGAUUUACUUAUUGUAUGUAUGUGAGUACACUGACACUGUCUUCAGGCACACCAGAAGAGAGCACUGUAUUCCAUUUCCGACAGUUGUGAGCCCCCAAUGUGGUUGCUGGGAUUUGAACUCAGGACCUCUGGAAGAGCAGUCAGUGCCCUCAACCACUGAGCCAUCUCUCCAGCCCCCAGAGAAUUUGUUUUUGUGGUGAUUGUUUUUAGAGAAUAUGUAACUUGUGGCUAUGACAUAAUCUCUUCUUACAUAGAGAACUCUGUCUUAGAAUGAAAAGGCUAAGAGGAAAAAAAAAAUAAAAUCGUUGGAGCCUGCUCGUUGAAGUUUGCUCAAUCCACCAAAUAUGUGUAUGUACACAAAUGUAUACAAAAUGGUUGGCCUUAGUGCCAGUGGAAUGUUAAUGAAACCCAAAAGACCAGACAGGAGCCAAUCACCACACCAGGCUCUUUAUUCGAGCUAGUUCUUGCCCCUCAGCCCACUGCUAACAAGCAGGAUGAUUUUGGUUGAGAGGAGCCCCAAACAUCUAUCAAGCAUGAGUGUGUGUGUGUGUGUGUGUGUGUGUGUGUGUGUGUGUGUGUGUGUGUGUGCACUCUCGUGCACUCGCGCACCUAAUUGGAGAGCUCCUGUGACCUUAGCAUAACUGGUUGGUGCUGUGAGUCAAACCAUAAACUUAACUUCUGCUUCCCUCUGCAUUGGUGAUUGUUAGGCAGGGGCAGGCUUGUUGGAAAUUAACCUGGAAAUGUUGGAUUUGUUAGGGGUUAGCCUAGAAACUGGAGUUGGGCUCUGGUUUUGUUGGGGGAUAACUUAGAAACUAAUGCGAGGUACCGGCCUGUUAGUUUACCUGAGUUCAAGUUCUCUAAAAUGGAGUCUGAACCUAAAGGAUUUGGUCUCUCAGGAGCUUGUUCAUUGGAGCUUUGCUCCAUCUCUCAAAUGCAUGUAUGUGUGUGUGUAUGUAACAUGGUCAGAGCUUUGUUCCAUCUACCAAAUACAUGUAUGUGCAUGUAUAUAACAUGCUUGGAGCUUUGUUCCAUCUAUCCAAUGUGCGUAUGCAUGUAUGUAUGUAUAUAUAUGUAUGUAUGUAUGUAUGCAUGUAUGUAUGCAUGUUGUAUUUAUGCAUGUGUGAAGUUGUUGGAGCUUGUUGAAGCUUGCUCCAUCUAGCCACUGUGUAUGUGUAUGUGUAUGCGUAUGCGUAUGCCUGUGUGUGUGCAUGUGCAUGUGUGUAUGAUUCUUUCUCUCCUUGAUUUUUUUUUCCUUCUCUCAGAUCCCGAAGAAUUCAAAGAGUUUUCCGCUGGUUACAGGGAGUGUUGGUGCCUAUGAAUCAAGCUUUACUCCCUCAGGAAAAGGUCUGCUGAAUGUUCAGUCUCUGGCUUUACACCUAGCCUCAGCUUCCCUCGACCUGUCAAAGCUGGCUUCGACACAUUGUUCUGUUGCUUCCCAUUCAUUACUGCUUAUCUCUCUUUCUCUGUGUUCCUCAUUUCUAUUUCUCCUGUUCCAGUUACGUCUCAUCCCCUGUUUCUGUCUUUGCCUCCCAUUGGUUGUCUCUGUCCUGCCUUUGCAUCCAUUGGCUUCUAAAGUAGGCAUUCCAUCAUUUUCAUAUAUCGUUAUUAGUAUUGCAUGCACGCCAUGGUGCACCUGUGGAGGGUGAGGACAGUAUUCAGGGCUUGUUUCUGUUCCCCCACCAUGGGACCUGGGGCUCACACUCACAAUAUCCGCUCAUGGGGCAAAAGCUCUCACCCGCUGAGCCGCCUUGCCAGCCCCCAUUGGUCUCUUAACUGGUACUCAUUCUUACAGCCCUUCCACUGAGACAAGCCAAACACUGCAUGGUUUGGACUUCCUCCUGCACACCUCCCACCUAUGAUUUUGGAGGAAUCGUCCUGGCAGCACUCUGUCCACACACUGUACGUACUCUCUUCGGAUAACUUGGGAUCUGGUUGUCCUUGCUCUGCACAUUAUGAUCUGCAGUCAUUAAAUCUGUGAGAGUCACCUCCUUGAUAGCUCAAAACCAGCCUGUCCAAUGACCGGACCCCGGCAGUCAGCGUCCUCUUUUGAAUACUCUUUCUUUUGGUUUCUAUGCUGUGGCAUACCCACAGUUCUCUGACCCUCUGCUUUCCUGCUCCUUGGACAUGGACACAAGGCUUCCAUGCUGAGAAGUAGUGUGUGAUAAAAUACAGCCGAGAAUGCAGCCCAGCCUGAGCAGGGGUCUCGCCUGUGUGGUGACAGAGAACACACAGGACAGCUAACCACAGGAGUGGGCCUGGGCUGACAGAUAGGUGGAGUGUCAUUAGGUAACCAUGGGGCUUUGUAAAAAGUAUUUUUGAAAUUUGAUUUAUUUAUUUUUUUUUUUCGGAGCUGGGGACCGAACCCAGGGCCUUGCGCUUGCUAGACAAGUGCUCUACCAUUGAGCUAAAUCCCCAACCCCGAAAUUUGAUUUAUUUUUAUUUUGUGUGUAUGUGUAUUCACCUGAAUGCAUGCCUGUACACCACAUUUGUGCAAUGCCUGUAGAGGCCAGAAGAGGGUGUCAGAUACCCUGGGCUGUACCCUUGUUAGCAGUGCUCUUAACCUCUGAGCCAUCUCUCAACCCAACAAACAUACAUUUAAAAGUGUCUUAGCAUUUUCGUUUUGCCUUUAAGAUAUAGAGUGGUUUUGCAUGCAACAAUCAGAGGUGCUAGGGGCUGGAGAGAUGGCUCAGUGGUUAAGAGCAUUGACUGCUCUUCCAAAGGUCCAGAGUUCAAUUCCCAGCAACCACAUGAUGGCUCACAACCAUCUGUAAUGGGAUCUGAUGCCCUCUUCUGGUGUAUCUGAGGAUAGCGACAGUGUACUCACAUACAAAAUAAAUAAAUAAAUAAAUAAAUAAAUAAAUAAAUAAAUAAAUAAAUAAAUAUUUUUAAAAAGAAGUGGUAGGAACAGGAUUUGGAAAUGUCUAGGAGCAUCUGCAAACUAAAGUGCCCAGCGUAAAACAUCAAAUCACUUCGUUGGCCCAUUUCACAAACAUACUUGCUGUCGUUUGACGACGGGCAGGGCCAAGAACUGUAUGCUGAGGCAGUCCAUUCAAAGAGCCCUCCCUUUGCUAAAAACUGUUCACAUUCUUGAUGCCACGGUGCUCAGACACUCUCCUGCCAACAAUUCCCAUUGUAAAUCUAGCCACAUUCCUCUAGGGAAGGUGCUUUUUCUUUAAUAACAUCAACCCAAAAUCUAUCAAUGCUAGUUGAGUUCCAGGGGCAGGUAAGAGCUCUGUUUAUCUCUGUAUAUCGCAAAAGCCUCUAAGAAGACAAUUCAUUUCUGUGGUCACCCGUUAGUCAUCCUAAGAUAUCUGAUAGACGCUUCCCAUUGAAUUCGAAAUGGACACCCUUAAAAUGUGUUCUUUGUAUUCAAGUAGCAGAUAUAAUACUCAGCCUUCUAUUUUAUUUUAUUUGUUUGUUUAUUUUUAGAUAGGGUCUCACAAUAUAGUCACAACUGACCUCAGACUUCCUACAUAAACCAGGCUGGCCUCAACUUCAGAUAUCCACCAGCUUCUGACUCCCGAGUGUUAGGAUUAAAGGUGUGUGCCACGAUGACUGGCCAGAGCAAUUCUUUUUUUUUUUUUUUUUUUUUUUUGGUUCUUUUCUUCGGAGCUGGGGACCGAACCCAGGGCCUUGCACUUCCUAGGCAAGUGCUCUACCACUGAGCUAAAUCCCCAACCCCCAGAGCAAUUCUUAAUGGAAAAUAAUCCUAUACUUAGAAAAAAAUCCUUGAGAAAGGUAUGGUGGUGUACACUUUUAAUCCCAGCACUUGGAAGGCAGAGGCAGGCAGAUCACUGAGUUUGCAGCCAGCCUGGUCUACAGAGCAAAAAAAAGAGGCCAUGUUUCCCCAUUACACUUAAAGGCAAUUGAGACAAGCAGAUAGUUGCAGUUAAACUAUACUAUUUUCAGUUAACAAGUGCUAUUUCCAAAAUACUGUUGCAUGCACACACACAUUUACACACAUGACAGAUAUUCAAACAUCCACUCACUCACUGACACGUGAGCACAUACAUGCAUACAGCGUGCACAUGCAUACACAGAGGGUAGAAAUGUGGCUGUCAGGGAAUAAAUAGUCAAGACCAGGGUGGGCAAAUGAGUUGAGCAGGGACCUUCCUGAAGGCUUGUCUUACUGAUUGAGCAGUAAUCAUUCCCUGACAUCUUUUCCAUAACAAGAAACUCUGAACUUUUAAAGUAACAAAAUGGUAGUGAAUAAGACAACCUUAGUAUAUUGGUAUCUUUCUAUUAGACAAGUUGGUCAGAACCUAUUUUAACACAUUUAUCUAUUUGGUUUUUUUUUUUUUUUUUUUUGGUUCUUUUUUUUUGGAGCUGGGGACCGAACCCAGGGCCUUGCGCUUCCUAGGCAAGCACUCUACCACUGAGCUAAAUCCCCAGCCCCUAUCUAUUUGUUAUGUGGUGCUUUAUGUUGUGUGUAAUUUUAAAAAUAUGUUUGCUCUUUCUUGAGAGCUCUGCCCGAGCUCCCUGCUUGAGUCCCCACGGUUAGCUUCACCAAGCCACCUGGCCUCACUCAGCUCCACCCAGCUGCCAGCUGGCGCUUUUCCCAAGAAUGCCCAUGGAACUGCGAUUGCCCCCUCAACCCCUCACAGCAAGCUCCACCAAGCCACCACACCCACCCUGACUGUGCCUUUUCUUCUGCCCAACUUAGUCGCCUCCGAUGGAAAACACCGGACAACCUUAAUUUUUUAAAACCAGUCAGAUACCUCAAUGGCUGGGCAAAGAAUUUAUUGCCCUAACUGGAUCAACUAGCUAUUCUAGCCCUCCGCUAGCAUGUUCAGCUCCCCAAGAUCUUACAUGGCGGUUGCAUCCUCCCAUUCCAAAAGCCUGCUCUCUCCCUCACUGUGUCCCCUCCUCUUUUUCCUGGGACCUGAAAAUCCCACCUUUCCCCCUUCACCCAACGAUUGACUUCCUCACCAUCUUUAUUGACACAGUCAAGAAUCAAUUAGAGAAACAAUACCCCCACCUACAGUUUAAAUAUGCUUGGCCCAAGGGAAGUGGCACUUGUUGCAGUAAAUAUUCUUUAACGGUUUCUACUUCACCUUAGAUCAUUUAGUUCCCAAAUAAAAGACACAGAACCUUUAUAUUUAUAAUAAGUCUUAAAGCAUUGGAGCUGGGCAGGUAUCAAUUCUCUAUGCUACUUUGUCUACUUCCCUGUCACUAACCUGGGAUUUAACACUUGCUGUGUUCCUCCUAGGCCACUUGUAUUCCAAAGGGCUGGCCUUCAUGGCCAUGAGCUCAGGAUCCACCUGCCCCCAGGGCUCCUUCCUCCUCCUCCUUCUCCCUCAUGGCAUUGUCUCUUCUUAGAGCUCCAGGCCUGGGAACUGAAACCCCGCCUACCUUUCUUUGCCCCACUACAGGCUGUAGGCAUCGUUUUAUUAACCAAUAGUUUUAAAUCAAGGAACAAGGUUUGCACAACAAAAGCUGGCAUAGGUGAGAGUUCACUCUUCCUGAGGGAACUAGACCUCAGGAUACAGAAUUUAGUAACAACACAGCAACAGAUACUACUGGCUGGUAAGGCCUUAUCGGAGGAGGUGUGGCCUUGUUAGAGGAAGUGCAUCACUGUGGAGGUGGGGCUUAGAGGUCUCAAAUACAUGAUCAAGUCUGACCAGUGGACUCAGAGGCUCCUCCCGGCUGCCUGUGGAAGACAGUCCUCUUCUGCUAUCUUCAGAUCAAGACUUUGAACUCUCAGCUCCUCUAGUACCAUGCCUGCCUGCCUGCUGCCAUGCUUCCCACCGUGAUGAUAAUGGACUGAACCUCUGCAGCUGUAAGCCAGCCCCAGUUAAAUGUUGUCCUUUGUAAGAGUUGGCUUGGGGCUGGAGAGAUGGUUCAGCAGUUAAGAGCACCAUAUGCUCUUCCAGAGGUCCUGAGUUCAAUUCAUGGUGAUCACAACCAUCUAUAAUGGGAUCUGGUGCCCUCUUCUGGUAUGUUGGAAGCGUACUCAUCAUAUAUAAUAUAAAAUAAACUAAAAAAAAUAAAAAUAAAAAAGAGUUGGCUUGGUCAUGGUGUCUCCUCGCAGCAGUGAAACUCCAACUAAGACAUGUUAUAAUAGUUAAAUAAUUAUUUGGAACAUAAUUUGAAAGACUAGUUUGUUGUUUUAGUCUCUCUCUCUCUCUCGCUCUCGCUCUUGCUCUCUCUUUCUCUGUGUUUGUGUGUCUGUGUCCUUUGUCUUCUUGUGUGUGCAGGGUGUUGGUAUCAGGAACUGCUUUUCCCUCCAGCAGUGACAGCACCUGUGCAUCGGUUGCCAUGGCAAUAGCCAUACAUUCCCAGCAUACAUUUGGUUCAGUUCGUACCUUCAUCUGGGAGCAGUUAUGUCAUGGUUCAAAUAAAAAGCAGGCCCUUUCUACCUCCUUCCUCUCUCUUUCCUCUCUUUUCUUUCUCUUCUCCCUCUCUCACCCCUCCCUGUCUCCAUCGUCACAAUAAAUCUCCUCCCUGUGGGACCAUGCUGGCCUGGUGUAGUUUGUCUAGAAGCGAGCUGUGAUUUCUAUGCCAACACAGGGUAUAGGUCAGUGCCUCUUCAUGUCGUUACUGAGGCAGGAUCUGUCACUGAACUCGAGCUCACUGAUUCGCCUAAAUUCAGGGAUUACAGACUUGGCUGUUGUGCCUGGUGUAUGUCUUGGUUAAACUUUUGUCUGUCUAACAUAUCAUUUGGGAAGAGGGAUCGCAACUGAGAAAAUACCCCAACCAAAUUACCCUGUGAACAUGUCUGUGGGACAUUUUCUUGCUUAAUGAUUAAUGAGGGAGGGUUCAGCCCAUGUGGGUGGUGCCACCCCAGGCCAGAGGUUCCUGGUGUAUUAGAAAACAAACUGGGCAUGCUUCAGGGAGUAAGCAGUAAACAGGGCUGCUCCAUGGCCUCUGCUUCAACUCUUGCCUCCAGGCUCAUGCCUUGAAUUGCUGCCUUGACUGUUUUCAAUAAUGCACUGUGGUGUGGAAGUACAGAGAUACAAACCUUCCUCUUAGGCUGCUUUUGGUUUUGGUAUUUACCUCAAUAGAAAUCCUGACGAAAACACCCAGCUUCACGGAGUUGUUACAUGGGUGCUAGGGAUGUGAAUUCAGGCCUUCACCUUUGCUUACUAAGCACUUACCAGCUAAGUCAUCUCUCAUAAGCUGUUUUAGAAUCAAAACUAUUUAGUCCUCCACGUUGAAGGUGGUAAAAAUAAGUAAUUAUCUCACCCAAAGCUUUUGUUUGAUCUUUCUUCUGUCUUUUUUCCUCUCUCUCUCUCUCUCUCUCUCUCUCUCUCUCUCUCUCUCUCUCUCGUCAAGUGUCUCAGAGGUCUGGUUCAUUUCAGCUCCUUCGCUGCCUUUUCCUUUUCUGUUUGACCAGGCUGUAAGGUGCCCGCUGCAGCAAACUUUGAACCUCACAUUAUCCUUGUUCUCCUUGAUCAUGACAGACUUAGCAUCCUUCUGCAGGCUGUGAGCAGAACGUCCUUGAUUUUCCUCAGU